GAUGAACGCUGGCGGCGUGCUUAACACAUGCAAGUCGAACGAAGCACUUUAUUUGAUUUCCUUCGGGACUGAUUAUUUUGUGACUGAGUGGCGGACGGGUGAGUAACGCGUGGGUAACCUGCCUUGUACAGGGGGAUAACAGUUGGAAACGGCUGCUAAUACCGCAUAAGCGCACAGCAUCGCAUGAUGCAGUGUGAAAAACUCCGGUGGUAUAAGAUGGACCCGCGUUGGAUUAGCUAGUUGGUGAGGUAACGGCCCACCAAGGCGACGAUCCAUAGCCGACCUGAGAGGGUGACCGGCCACAUUGGGACUGAGACACGGCCCAAACUCCUACGGGAGGCAGCAGUGGGGAAUAUUGCACAAUGGGCGAAAGCCUGAUGCAGCGACGCCGCGUGAGCGAAGAAGUAUUUAGGUAUGUAAAGCUCUAUCAGCAGGGAAGAUAAUGACGGUACCUGACUAAGAAGCACCGGCUAAAUACGUG
rnacentral:rRNA from 1 species